GAGUGCGAAGGUACCCUCAGUACGGUUGGAAAUCGUACGCUGAGUGCAAAGGCACAAGGGUGCUUAACUGCGAGAGUGACAGCUCGAGCAGAUACGAAAGUAGGUCUUAGUGAUCCGGUGGUUCUGAAUGGAAGGGCCAUCGCUCAACGGAUAAAAGGUACUCCGGGGAUAACAGGCUGAUACCGCCCAAGAGUUCAUAUCGACGGCGGUGUUUGGCACCUCGAUGUCGGCUCAUCACAUCCUGGGGCUGAAGUCGGUCCCAAGGGUAUGGCUGUUCGCCAUUUAAAGUGGUACGCGAGCUGGGUUUAGAACGUCGUGAGACAGUUCGGUC
rnacentral:rRNA from 1 species